AUUAACAUCCAAUGCAUCAAACUCCUUUCUCAUGGCAUCCUGUCAUACUGGGACUGAUGCAGCUUGAGAAUAAUAAAGAGGUUCAGAUUCCAAAGGAGAAGAAGAAGAUCCAGAAAAGGCAGGAAGGUGACACACAUAAUCCUUAAGAUAAGAGGGAAGGUUGUGAUGCCUCCCAGAUUUUCUAGGAACAUUAGGUGCUGUGAAAGGAGGUAAAGCAGGAGGAGGAAUAUCAAGAUUAAAAGGAGGG
rnacentral:lncRNA from 1 species